rnacentral:rRNA from 1 species
UACAGAGGUCUCAAGCGUUGUUCGGAUUCAUUGGGCGUAAAGGGUGCGUAGGCGGCGCGUUAAGUCGGAUGUGAAAUCUCGGAGCUUAACUUCGAAACUGCAUUCGAUACUGCCGUGCUUGAGGACUGGAGAGGAGACUGGAAUUCACGGUGUAGCGGUGAAAUGCGUAGAUAUCGGAAGGAAGACCAGUGGCGAAGGCGGGUCUCUGGACAGUUCCUGACGCUGAGGCACGAAGGUCAGGGGAGCAAACGGG